rnacentral:rRNA from 1 species
AUGGGGCUCGAUAGUGCCUCCCAUGUGUCGUGUCCUGUUGUUCAUCGAGAGGCAAACUCGAAGAACGCACCUUUUGUUGUGAUCCCGUGUUCUGGUAUUCGGCAAACAAAAAAAGAACUCAGCGAUUUUUUGAGUAGUGUCUUUUUGGUGUUUUCUUCUCUGGGCCGGCGAUUCGCUUCACGCGGCCCCUGGUCUACAUCGACGACUUUCCAACCGCUGCUUCUACAAGCUUCUGGGUACAAAAAUGUUUGCUCAGUCGAGGCGGCAUCGAGCUAUGCUCACGAUGCCCCGCUGGUGGAUUCAGGAGGAAGAAGACUUUGGCUCCCCCAAGAAUUCAAAUAUAAUUUUAUUUUCUGUGCGGGUGAGUUUGUGAAGACAUGUGUUACUUAA